ACUCAUAGAAAGAGGAAACCUUCGUCUCUGAAUCUCCGAUAACCCACUCGCUCAAAAACCCAUUCCAUCUCAACUUUCUCCACCGACAACAAUCCACCACCGCCGUCACAGGCCUUGCCAUCGCCGACAAUCGCCGCCUAUUGUCCUAUACACAUAUAUGUCUUCCUGUUUCCACGUUCUGCCUCAGAUCUAGGUCAAAUCCGCACGCGAUUCACUCAGAUCCAUGUCGUUGCCGCUGCUCUAGACACCGAAUAGUGGUGCCGUUGCCGUCGCAGUCGUCGGUGUCACAGUGGCAGUCGUUGUUGCCCUCGCCGUCAUAGUCGCCAACCAUUGUUGCUUCCUCUGUCACAUUUGCCCUUCAUUGACUCCAUUGACGCCACCGCAGCAAUUCGUUAUAGCAAAUAAUUUUGCCACCUUGAAAGAGACGGGAUUUGCUGUCAAUACUCUCCAAAGAGCCGAACUGCAAAAUAUUUUAAGCAACAAUGGAAUUGGAAUUGGUAAUUUGAACGAACUGUGUGAAUUUUGGGACAAAUUACAGAUCAGAGCUUUGAUUCAAGGCCUCAAACCUUCUUUGACAUUUUACAGUUUGAUAGCACGAAGGAGUGGUUUUAUUGGCUUCAAGAAAAGACCAAUAAAAGCAUUUGGAUUAUAUCAUGGGAUCCAUGGUGCAUGUAGUAAGGUCUUUGAAAUGGAAGUUUAUUGGUUGCCUCCCUUCAAUUUCUGAAUCUAUUCUAGUUUGUCAAGCCUAGAAGCUAAGACUAUAAGGGGCUUUAAACUCCUGAACUCCCAAAUGUUAAGAUCAGUUUGGUAAUGGCAAAUGCUCCAUCAAUUAUUGGCUGAUAGCUUGAUGUUUUCAAUUUGUUUUCUAUCCCGGGAGGCAAGAUCUUUUAUUCCAUCAGUGUUCUUUCAUAGCUGGACUUUUCAUCAUGCUACACGCCAGUUAUUGAAAAAUAGUGAGUAAUGUCCUAAUUCAUAUCUUUGCAACCUUCAUGAUUCAACUCUUAUCUUUUAUGAUGAUAACCAUAGAAUUUUAUGUAAUUUAUUUGUUUUGAGGACAAAGAUUGAAUCAUGUUACUGGGAUUGGUUUAUAGCCUAACUUAAUGUAUUGGUUUAUAGCUUAACUUAAUGUAAUAUAGUUAAAGACUUCUAGCAUUUUUUGUUGUUUAGAUUUGUAACAUGAUUUAUUCUUUUUCAAGAGAAAUUUGUGUAUCAAUAUUUUGAGUUUAAUGAAAUAUCUCAUUUUAUAGUAA